rnacentral:rRNA from 1 species
CAGUCGCCGCGGGAAAACCAGCAGCCCAAGUGGUGGUCGCGUUUAUUGGGCCUAAAGCGCUCGUAGCCUGGCCGGUAAGUUCCCCGUGAAAUCGGGUCGCCCAACGAUUCGGCUCGCGGGGAAUACUGUCGGUCUUGGGGCCGGGAGACGCCGAGGGUACUCCGGGGGUAGCGGUGAAAUGCUGUAAUCCUCAGGGGACUACCAGUGGCGAAGGCGCUCGGCGAUAACGGGCCUGACGGUGAGGGGCGAAAGCUGGGGGCGCGAACGGGAUUAGAGACCACUGUAGUCCCUGUCUCUUAUA